GCGAAGCGGAGCUUUACGACCAAGGAGAGAUAAGCAUAUUUUAUGAAUGAUAGAAGGAGUGCUCCCCGAGCACAGGCUUGCUUGGAAGGAUAGAGCGCCACAAGACAAGAUGGCAUAUUGAAGGGAAGGAAAGGCUAUGAAAGGAAUUCUGGUCUCUAGAACACCUGGCAUACUAAUACGAGCCGCAUACUUGAAUACUAGUGAUAUAUUGGAGGAAAGGAGAUUAUUGGAAUGCUAGAGGGAGUUACGCCCAUAAGAACUGCUGGCUGUAAACGUGACUUGCUUUGGGCUGCCAACCCUUAACACUCCCAAAAGCUGGCUGGAAACUGGAAUAGAACUAUCAGGGAAAGAAAUGCAUUGAUUAUCUAUAGACAUAGCAGAUACUGUAAUCAAUUCACCGGGUGACCCACCAGAUUCUCCUUUGAGUUUCAUGCUCGCUAAUAGUUCUUAUAUGAGGGAAGGAAUGAAAAAAUGGAGUUAGUUCUUUUCUUGGGUUUCGUACAAGAACUUCAUAUCUGGCUAGAUUUACUGCUUCCAUUUCCUUAAAAAAUCUCUGGGACUUGAAUCAAUAUUGAAAUGGAAAUCGGAAUCAUAAUCCGCAUUAGCAGGUGGUGAAGUAGUGGAACUCUUAGCAGCUUUCGUCUUAUAAGGUUCAUCGACCGAAAUGAACAUAUAUUUUAUAACAUCAGCGAAAACAUUAAGAAUCCAAACCUCACUUCACUGGACUAACUUCAAUCACUGGCUAGCGUUAUAUCUCACGUUAUUUGGCCUUACUGUGCUAUGAUAACGGGGGUAAAAGCAAGCUUACAGACUUUGUUCAACUAAAGAGACUGGACCCACUUUGAAGUAUUGGGAAUAGACUACUAAAGAGGAAGGGUCGAUGCUUUAUUAGUCCGGGCUUAAGCUUACACGAAAUAUAGCUGACUUGCUGCCUAACAAUAGCCUGACUCGCUAGCAUUCCUGGCUUCAAACUAUAGGACUUGAGGGCUUUAGCGGCUUGAAUUAGAUGUUCACGAUAGGGGUUGAAACGAGACCACCCCUUGACCCUAACCAAAGGGGGGCAUCCCGUAGAAUGAAUUCAUACUCUUGCUCGGGCUUUUCAGCUUCGGGUGCAGGUGAAACUAAACUCCCCUUAUUUAAGAAAGGGAACUAGCUUUCGAAACAGGCUGUAAACUGGAAACUAGCUAUUGACGUGACCAACCUGACUUUCUUAAUUAGCGAAACUCCUAUGCCUUUCGAGGCUUCUCAGUGUAAGAAAGAGGACUAUUCUCUUUUAUCAGAGAGGGACUGAAAGACUAUAUCUGGGCUAGCUCGACUCCACCCCUACCAAGGCCUAAGCCCUUGGGGUGGAGGUGAGCGUUAAUAGAGCUUAUAACUAUGAAAUAAAGAGGAGUAAUAACAAUAAGUAUACAACAGGUAUAACAAGUAUACAACAAGAAAUAAGCAGAAAUAGGCGCAUAUAGAUAAAAAUAAGAAUGAAAUAGAUAAGAAAGCAAUAAGUAAGUUGAAGCUAAAAGACUAUAGAUAAGGAAAUAGGUAUAUGGCAAGCAUAUCGGUAAGCCAAUCAAGAAAGGUAUAUGGUCUUCCUUGUAUAGUUAAGGCCAAGCCAAUCAAAGAGUUACGGUAUAAGCCAAGCAAGAAAACGGUUGGCAGUUAACGGAUAUGGGCUUUGGUAAGCAUUCCUGGUAGGCGUCAAUCCCUUGUUUGGUCUGUCGGAAAGGGUAUCGGUUCUGUCGGGCAAAGGGUCUUUCCUGGAUCAAUCAGUCUGAGGUCUUCGGUCAUCCUUCCCUGGAAUUGUAAAUAUGUUUUAUCUUGUUCACCCAG
rnacentral:lncRNA from 1 species